UACGUUAGAAGGAGAAUUUUAAAUUCUAUCCUUGUGUUACUGUCCAUUAGUAGAUGCAUUAUUUUCUCAUGGCAAUCGGUUUUGUUAAGAACCAGUGUGCAUCUGCCUUUGUCUGCUGGCAAAAUUAUGAUCUUAUCGUCUUUGCUGAGGGAUGUAACAGCCAUACUUUCCUGUGGCGUGAUUUUCAAAGUGGGCAUUUUUGCUCUAGAGAGUGCCGCUGUGACUUAUAUAAACUGGUUAAUCUUUUACCUUCAGUUCUGCUGCCCCAACUUAAAGACCAACUUAAUUAUUGACAGAGGUGCAAUUUAGGAUAAGUGCAUUGUAAUAAAGUCAUAAAUGCAGCAGAAGAAGUAUCCGUUUUGUCGUGGACAGUUGAAUCCGAGCAGGAACAUUUCCUCCUCACUUAAACAACAGAGGCAGGGAUCAGCAGCGGUCCACUGCAGGUGGCUCAGGCGUGGUCAAGUCUGGUGACAGAGCUUCACUGUUCUCACCUUUCCAUCUACUUUUCUAACCAUUAAGUGAUCAGAGCUGAAACUUGGCAGCCAUGCCUCCCCCAGGAGUGUCUCUGAACAUCAUGGACGCCCGUCACAAAAGAGACGGCUAUGGGAGCAUCUCCCACCCAAGCUUGCUCUUCAGUCAAGACUACCAGCAGCUGAAGGAGUUCUGUGUCACCAGAAGAGUUAAGUUUAUCGAUGACAUGUUCCCACCUGACAGGAAGUCCAUCGGACGAGGAAUACUGAGCCCCUCUGAUCUGGCCCAGGUGGAGUGGCUCAGACCUGCAAAAAUUUCUCAGAAUCCAUCCUUUGUCGUUCGUGGACUCUCAAGGUUUGAUUUUGGUCAAGGAGUGCUUGGAAACUGUUGGUUUCUUGCAUCUAUCGGUGCUCUGACGUUCCAAGAUCACAUCCUCAGGCAAGUUGCUCCUCUUGAACAAGGAUUUGGUGAGAACUACUGCGGCCUGUUUCAUUUCAGGUUUUGGAGAUUUGGAAAGUGGGUGGAUGUUGUGAUUGAUGAUAAACUGCCAACUAUCAACGGCAGACUAAUCUUCAUCCAGUCCAGAAACCAAAACGAGUUUUGGCCCGCCCUCCUGGAGAAAGCAUACGCCAAGGUGUGUGGCUCCUACACCGACAUGAAUGCUGGAACUCCUGCAGAAGCUAUGGUGGACUUCACUGGAGGUGUCCACAUGUGUAUCAAGCUGUCGGAUCCUCCUCCAGACCUGUGGGAGUUGAUGUCCAGAGCUGCCCGUUAUGGGGCUCUGCUUGGCUGCAGUACACCUCAAGGGGAAACGUCCUCUUUCACUCUGUCGUCCAACGGGCUGGUUCAGGGCCACGCCUACACCGUCACAGGUGUCAUAGAGAUGCUGAGCGGAGGCAGACCUGUGAAGAUGGUGCGUUUGUGGAAUCCCUGGGGAAAAGGGGAGUGGAACGGAGACUGGAGUGAUCGGUCCUCUCUGUGGAAAACUGUGAGCUCCCAAGAUCGGGAAAAAUGCCUUUCAGUGGCUAACGAUGGAGAGUUUUGGAUGUCACUGGAGGACUUCUGUAGGUUCUACAUAGAUCUUGACAUGUGUGGCCUGAAUCCAAACUUCCUUGAUGAGGACUCGUCUUUCCACUGGAGGACCUCUAUGGUUGAGGGCCGGUGGGUUGCAGGAACAACAGCUGGAGGCUGCAUGAAUUAUAAAGACAGUUUCUGGACCAACCCGCAGUUCCGAGUCAAGGUGUGUAGUGAAAGCACAAAAGGGAAGGGUGAGAAAAACAUACUGGUGUCUCUCAUGCAAAAACAUGACAAGAGGAACAGGCAUCUGGUCCAAAACCACCACAUCGGCUUCUCCAUAUUUGAGGUGAAAGAGCAGUAUCGCACACACAGGGGGAAGUUUACAGCCUCGUUCUUCAGCUCACAAGCACCUGUUGCCCAGACUAAAAUGUUCAUGAAUGCUCGUGAAGUGGAGGAGUUCCUGUCACUGAAGCCUGGAGAAUACCUGAUCGUGCCGUCCACCUUCCAUCCCAACGAGUCGGCUUCGUUCCUCCUGACCAUCCUCUGCAGGACGGAGAGCCACUGCUAUGAGAAUUCUGGUGAGCACCCUCCAGAACCAGUUAAAAAGGCACCAAAGGUGAAGAACAGACAACAGGACGAAAAUAAGCAAUUAUUCUUCCACCAAUAUUCAGACAAGUAUGAAGAAGUGGAUGCCGAGCAGCUUCAGAGGAUUUUAAACGAGAAGCUUCUGAAAGAAGACUUCAAAUCUGGAGGGUUCAGCAUCGACGCUUGUAGGAGCAUGGUUGCUCUGAUGGAUUCGUCUAUCAGUGGAAAACUGAACAGCGAGGAAUUCAUACGAUUGUGGAACAAAGUUCUCAUUUAUAAGGUUCUCUUCCUCCAGGAUUUUCCUGAUUCAGCUCCAUCCACCUUCAGAUCCACUCUGACCAGCCUCCCACAGCAUGAUGCUGCCACCACCAUGUUUUACUGUGGGGUUUGUUUGUUCAGGCUCAGUUCUGGUGUCGUCUGAUUGGUUCAUCUUCUUCCACAUGUUUGGUCAGAGGGUUGCAGAAACAUAUUGCAGGGGGGGCAUUCCAUUUUUUCAGGGGGGCACACUUUUUCAAAAAAACAUGUUAUAUGCUUCAGGCUUCAGGCUAGCUGUCAUAGCUAACCUCCUAGCGUGAAUGUUUACUCCAUUCUUGACUUCAAUGGUGACGUUUCAAACAGAAAUUAAUAUUGCUGCUUCCAGCUCGCUCUCGUUUGCUUCGUUGUCAUUUCUUGUAACUGUUUGGUAAUAAGACCGAAUAUCCAUCCCUACCGACACCGACGGUGACCACAGCCGAGCCAUGGCGUCUCUGAAGGCCAUGAAGGUCUGACCCAGCGACCCGCCCCUCUCCAGCUGUGAUUGGCUAACAUGUUGUCUUCAGUCGUUGAUUUGAUUGGUUGAAUUAUAUGACUGACACAUCAAAGAUAGUACUAAUAGAACAAUGGUACAUUGGUCUAUUAGUACAAUCCGAGGUUAAAAAAAAUAUAUGACAGCUUCCAGUCCAGGGCGGGCACGGCCCCCCAAAGCCCCCCCCUGCUGCCGGGUCUGUGCUCGGUGUGUCUCACAUGAAGUCUGUGGCAAACUGUAAACAAGACUUUCAUUGAUGGCUUUCUUGAGGCUUCUCUCACUUAAAGUCCAGAUCUGUGGAGUCCAUGACUAAUAGUCAUCAUGUGCAUCCUCUGUAGCUCCUCCAGAGCUCCUUGGUCUCCAUGAUCCUCUUUGUUCUCUGAUGUUCUCUAAGGAACCUGCAAAGCCAGAAACAGAACAGCCACACAGCUGGACUCUGGUCACUUUGGGGGACCUCUGAGGGCAGCACGCUGCAAUGGAUUUUCUUUAGGGGUGUCAAAGUAAAGUGGGGUUAACACCCACAUAACACUUUUCAGAUGUUUAUUUAGUGAAAUAGUAAAGCCUUCAUUUUGCCUCCACUUUCUAAAUAUAAGCUAUUUGACUCUUGGAACGGGACAAAGUUGGAAAAGACACUCAAACAGGCUUAAAUCAGAGGCAACCAGAUGUUCUCUGAGUGUUUCUGGAAACGUUUCCACACCUAUCCAGGAGUCUUUGUUGGUUGUGGUGGCUCGCUCUGAACUGUUAGAGCUCUGCUGUUUUUUUUAAGAUGGAGACUCAUCCUCCUAGGCCCGGUCCAGGUCAGACAAAAAUACUGAAAAACACUGUUCCGGUUGCCUGUGACCUAAGCCUGUUUGUGGUUCCCAUGAACCGGAUAACCGAGAAUUUGCACAGGCAUUUCCAAGGCACUGUAUUCAUAUCAUGGAGAUUGCUUAUUCUUUUGUCAGGGUGUCUUCUUUCAAACUGAUGUUUCUCGGACUGGAACUCUGUCACUGACUGAGUUGAGGAAUGCAUUCGAAGCUUCAGGGAUGAGAGUCUCCGACGAUGUGCUCAACCUGAUGGUUCUGCGCUACG